GAUGAACGCUGGCGGCGUGCCUAAUACAUGCAAGUCGAGCGAACAGACGAGGAGCUUGCUCCUCUGACGUUAGCGGCGGACGGGUGAGUAACACGUGGAUAACCUACCUAUAAGACUGGGAUAACUUCGGGAAACCGGAGCUAAUACCGGAUAAUAUAUUGAACCGCAUGGUUCAAUAGUGAAAGACGGUUUUGCUGUCACUUAUAGAUGGAUCCGCGCCGCAUUAGCUAGUGGGUAAGGUAACGGCUUACCAAGGCAACGAUGCGUAGCCGACCUGAGAGGGUGAUCGGCCACACUGGAACUGAGACACGGUCCAGACUCCUACGGGAGGCAGCAGUAGGGAAUCUUCCGCAAUGGGCGAAAGCCUGACGGAGCAACGCCGCGUGAGUGAUGAAGGUCUUCGGAUCGUAAAACUCUGUUAUUAGGGAAGAACAAAUGUGUAAGUAACUAUGCACGUAUUGACGGUACCUAAUCAGAAAGCCACGGCUAACUACGUG
rnacentral:rRNA from 1 species